AGCAGUAUACUACAUAACCACAAUAAUUCAUUUGGAUUAGUGACUUCACCCACAAUAAGUUCAUUCUCCUAGGGAAUUACAUGACCACAAGAAUGUCGUAAGACUAACUCACUAAAGAACGUACAGUGCAAAUAAAAUUGCAGCAAAAGGUGUCCGGUCUCGAGUUUCUAAGAUGAACGAGACAUUUUUCUGGGCGGGAGUGCAUCAACGUAGCAAGGACGGUAGGGGAAUGCAUUGCCUAUGCCUCUAGCAUGUUGGUGAUGUUUCUCAGGAUAUAUGUAGCCUCCUAGAUACUGCAUUCUGGAAGAAGGAGGGGACCCCGCUGGCGGCGGCUAGGGUUUCCUCCCAGUCAUGAGCGGGGCGACACAAGAGGAGGGGGGAGGAGGAGUAGAUUGUCAUCAUGACCGGAAUGAGACUUUUCUGUGUAAGACCUGCACCCUUCUUCCCUGGGACAAGGUAGUAAAAUGCCGGUCCAAAUCUAACAAAUUUGUUGUUGCCUUGUAAUACCACGGUUCAGAUUUUAAAAUUGAAAAAUCUGUUAACUGCAUCAUAUGAAACCACAGUUCAGAAUUAGACGUCGCAUCCAUGGCAACAACAUACACUGGAAGCUCUCAUUGAUGUAAGUUUUUUUCAAUUUUAAAACAUAGGAGGGAGUGGCGCCUCAGCCGUCGCAGGAGAUAGCCUGCCCAGAGCAACCUCUGCACGCUCCAGAAGGCUCCCAGCCCGCAGCAGCCAUCCGUGCAUUGAAUCAACCACAUCACUCAGAGGCUGAAUCGCCUUCGCCAUCUGCAAGGAAGCCAUGCCUUGCAGCUCAGAGCGUAGCAGCUCGGCUUGCGCAGUAAAGAUAGACUGAAGUGCCACAUGAGCUGAGGCUGUAGAACCAGCAGAAGAAGAAACAACCGACGCCCAGGAGUCACGUUGGAUCGCCUUGGAGGGAAGCGUGGCAUUAGAUUGGGCUUGACAUGAAGGUGGAUGAAGAUGAUGAAUGGUGUCGAGGCGGGACAAUGACGAAGCAAAAGGGUUAUCGAGCAAGCUGAGGGGACGCCAAGCGUUCCGACACUCACGGGCCCGAUGGCCGUUCCCCAGGCAGUGAGAGCACCGAAAGGGAUCCCUGCACUUCGCUGCACGGUGUCCAGUAACAAGACACCUGCAGCAUCGACCAUGGAGCCACGCAGGGAUGGGCCGAGGGGACGAAGCCGGAGCUCGAGACGCCAGACGAUGCGAAGCAUGCCGCGGCCGCACCUCCUGCCAACCCACGCAAGUAGCUGCCGCAUGUUCAGCGCUCACUCCGCUGGAGCACUUGGUAGCCAACGGCGACUGCGGCGCCAGCUCAACACCAUCCUCAUCAUCUUCGUCAUCGUCGUCGUCGUCGAGGGAGCUCCACAAAGACUGCACCAUACCCGCAGCCAAAGCAUCAGAAGCACCCGAGGCAGCCAGUAGCUUUCCAGCCCUCAGGUCAGAAGAGGGCCCAGUGACAUGACCACCGUCUCCAGCAGCAACGACAGGCGAUGUGGUAGGUGUUGGCGUCGCGAGGACCAGCUUGGAGCUUGCCGGCGACUCGGACGUGGACGGAACCUCGCGCGAGACCAGUCGCCCCUGCACGGUCGGGUCAGCCUUGCGGGAGGCGAGGGAGGCCGCGGCUAGGCCUCGCGCAGAUGGCGGCGGCAGACGGGCCGGGGCGACGCCGGCAGCAGGAGAGGCCGAGACGGCUCCCAUCGUCGGAGCAGCAGGAGAGCGAGGCCCGCCCGAAGUUCGCCGCGAAUCAGCCGCGGGAGAAGAGACACGCGCGGGAGGAGGCGCCGGAGCCUGGCCGUCACGCGCAGAGCGAACGGAGGUCGAGGCAGAGUAGCAGCAACCGGAUGAGGCCGCAGCACCGGAGGACUGCCGAGGAAGAAGCGGGCGGCGGCGCCGCGCGCCCACCCGCGAGCGCGAACGGGAGACGCCCAUCUCCUCACAUGAGGCACGCAGCAGAGCAGGGGCACCGGAUCUGGCCUCGGCGGCCGCUAGGGGAGGACGGCUGGAGCGGAUCUGGCAGCGCCGCGGGCGAACGCUCACCCGACCAUUGAUGUAAGUUAUAUAACGGUGGAUGUGAGGUUUCUACCGCUAUAAGAUAUAGUGUGUGAGGAUAACUAGAUGGAUGUUUCUGUUCAACGUCAAUUUGCCAGGAACAAAUGUAACUCUUGUUCCAGCUCAGGGAAGGGGAAGGUUGCCAACUAAAAUAUACCACAGCAGCAUAUGUAACAGAUAAACUACACCGAUGCAUGGGUACUCGAUGACCGUGGCCAUGGCAGAAACAAUUUUGCAUCGAUUUAAUGAAUUUACGUUGCAUAGAUCAUCCAGUGGCAAACUGAAAUUCUGGUAGGACCUUAUUCAUCAUGGUCCCUACCCGCUAAUUAUCAUUAUCAGUAGCAGAGGCAGAGAAAACAAGACCAGCAUUACCAUGAGCCUGGUGGUUAGAAAAAAUGGAUGCAUGUAACUUAGUUUUGACAUUGUGUAACUCACGAAUAAUUCUUUUAAAAAUAAAUGCAGUACGAAAUUCCUACUGUUUUCCAUCAAAAGAAAAAGGGUGGAAUGGUUGCCUGUGAAACUGUUGUGCGAUCAUCCCACUGUGUCAUAAGUUCUUUCCGAGCAAUGCAAGAUCAUGAGGACACCACUAUGACAAUGAAUAUAGAGGGACCCAUGCCAAUAUUCGGCUGACCACCAUGUCCGCUUCGCCACAUUGCGCGGCUCCUUGACUAGGUCAUAGAGACGCCCCGAUGAACAACGCCCCGGCAAGAACUCCCGCCUCUCCCAUUGACCGGUCCGCGACGAGAAGACGAUCAAACGCAGCACCUUCUGUGAGUGCACCUCCGGUUGCUCUUCUCCAAACAACCUGUGUAAGUACAAGUGCUCAUCGUCGACCCACCAAGUCUCCAUUGGCUCUAGGAUGUCCGCGACAGUGGGGGAGUUCUUUCUUUCGGAAAGAGGAACACCUCGUGAUGUCGCGACACGGCUGGAUCGAAGGCGAGGAACAUGCCCUUCAACGUCGCAUCUCCAUGGCGUUGGCGGAAGGGGCCUUGUUGCCGGGUUGCACACGUAGGUAUAGUGGGCAGACUCGAACACAUACUUGUCUCUGAGCAGGAGGAGGCCAUUGCAGUGCUGCUGUAUGUAGGCCUCGUAUGUGAAAGGAGGGCACACGAAAGUGGGCUCGCCGGCGUUGUUCUCCGGCGGCUGGGUGCGCCAGCCCGGCGGGGCGAAGAAGUCCUACUCUGCCCAGUACCCGUAGUAGGUCGUGAAUACGCCGGGAAACUCGCGCGGGAAGACUUGCGGGAGGAGAAGGCUGUGGGCGUCGACGAUGCCGCGCCACGCACGGCAGACAAGCCGGAACUUGGCAAGGGGGCGGCCGGGAAGGCGGCGGAGGACUUCGAGGAGCACGUCGUAGGGGAGGCAGAUGCCGUUGGCGGGGUCGUUGUUGUUUGCAUCGCCCAUCUCACUGACAGGAUAGAGGUACAAGAAACGGCAAGAUACGAUCCGCUGAUUGUUACAUAGAUAUAUACGUAGAAUCCUAACGGCAAUCGCAAUCAUAUUGUCAAUCGCCUGAAGCUUACCAUGCAAAAAAAAAAAUCACCUGAAAGAUUUGUUUCAUCUUUUUUUUUUUUGCAAUUCUUCCAUCGUCUGAUCCCACGUUCCUUCUGCCAUAUCGCAAUAUCGUUAGCUAAAUUAAACAAGCGUUUUUCUUAUGGCAGCUGUGUCAUCUUAUUUCCUUAUUUUGUCAUGACAAUGUGCUAACUACUCCCUCUAUAUUGAAAUCAUAGUGUAAAAAAAAAGUCUUAUAUUUUGAGACGGAGGGAGUAUGUACCAAAUACUAACCGUCCAGUUUGUUCGUUCGUUCAUCGAUUCAAGACUUCAGGUGCGGUAUAGAUCAUUCACAGCCAAACUGAAGUCUAGGACUGCUGUGGAGCAUAACAAGUUCUCAACAUCGAUUCAGUUUGUCGGUUAAACAACUGACACGGGUAAUAAACCUGAGACAUAGUGCUAAGGAGCGAGUGUUUCUCCCUUUUGGUAAAUUUACGUACAAUUGGUGCCUUUGUCUGGUGCUGAAUGUCCACGUGAUGCUUGUGCUGCAUUGUCGUGGUCGCGUUUUUCUGUGGUACGGUUUCGGUUGCAAGUUCUCGCGGCAAAUGAUGCCCUUUGUACCAGGGAUGUAGUCUGUCAAUUUGCUUUGAUCCUGUUUUGUUUAGUUGUGUCCUUAGGUUUUGUGCUGCUUCUUGGGCUUUGGUGUUGUUGGGUGAUGCCAUCUUUGGCGAUGCAAGGGUCAUGGUAUCGUUUGGGUUGCGCCAUGCCAUCUUCGACAUGUAAUAUCCCUUCUCUCAUCUGCAUGAUUGAAAAGAAAAAUGUACACGCACCUUGGUAAUUAAGCAUCAGCAACAUCAAGACUAAAUAAUCAUGACCAAAGAGAUUGUCCAAUGAAUGAGAUGCCUAUCAAGUAGAGGAGUUCAAUCCUGCUUAUAAUAACCAAGGCAAUCAGCAGCAUAUAUUCAUCAUAAUAAUGUAGUCCUUUGAGGGAAUUACAUAAUCAGGAGACUAGUUAAGGACAUAAAGCGAGUUAAACCGAACCCUAGUAUUUCUAACGGGCGCUUUUCCUAACAGGGAGUGCAUCCACGUAGCAUGGUCGGUAAGGGAAAGCAUUGGGCAUGCAUGCAGCUUGUAUAUGUUGACGGGUAUCAUGUGACCUAAAUAUUGCAUUCUUGAGGUGUCGAGAUGAUACGCCACCCCAGAAUCAUUGGCACAGAGGAGGAGAGCGUACUUGUGUGGAUGGAAUCCAAUAAUCCCAUACUCCCACACAAAAUGAUCCUGGUCUUUGACUUCACUCUCAUCCAACUCGACAAAAUUACGUUCAUCUGAGUUCCACGAGUGCUCAGAACCAUCAGUGCUUGCCUGUUCUCUUGUCUCACGAUCACUAUCGUUUUCUUCUUCUUCCUCCUUGUCCUCCCCCUGUUCAUCAUCUUCCUCCGCCUCUUCUUCCUCGUCUUCAUCCUCUUCUCCAUCAAUAAUCUCUUCUUCUUCUUCUUCACUUUCCUCACUGCUUUUAUGGUUAAGAUGGUACACCACUCCAUCGAUAAUCUCAAAAUCAUCCUCUAAAUCGUCAUUCUCCUCUUCUUCCUCAUUUUCAUCCUCUUCUCCAUCAAUAAUCUCAUCAUCUUCUUCAUCACUUUCCUCAUUGCUUUUAUGUUCAAGAUGAUACGCCACUCCAUGGACAAUCUCAUCAUCUUCUCCAUCAUUUUCUUUUUCCUCCAUGUUCUCCCCCUGUUCACCGUCUUCCUCCUCCUCCUCUUCCUCGUCUUCAUCCUCUUCUCCAUCGAUAAACUCAUCAUAUUCUUCAUCACUUUCCUCGCUACUUUCAUGUUCAACCAAGCUGAGUAGUUCUUCCUUGCUUUCAAUCACCUCCCAUGUACAUACUGGUUUAAAUUUCCAUUGAUCUAUCAUAUGAUAUUGUGCAUUCAAGUCCGUCUUGUGUGCCAGUGUCCACCCUAGUUGUCUAUCAGGCGAAUCUGACAGUGCCCACACAUGGAGUUGUAACACAUUGAGCACCACAUAGAAUAUCCCUCUCUCAUUGUUCGCUAAGAUGGACCUCCUGGGCAAUGUCCCAUUAUAGUAUCCCAUUCUCACAUCGCAGUCCGGGGGGUCCCUCGGGAGUUGGACUGUGUCAUACUUUCCCUCCGUGACCCGCAUAAUCAUGAGUACACCAAUGUGGCAGGGCACGUAGAGUGACCCCCGCCAAUACUCGGCAGACCACCAUGUUCGCACAAAUUCCAUAUCUUCGAUACUGAUAUCACCUUCUGUUGUCCCCACAUUGUAGGUAUUCCAUGGUACGCAGCGCCCCGACACGAACUCUUGGCUCUCCCACAAAUCGGUAAUCGAUGAGAAGACUAGCAUGCACACUACCUUUUCCUUGGGCGCAUCAGCGAAUGGCAUGAGAGAAUCAAUUUGUUCAUUGGCGUCUCUGUCAUGUUGUCCUUUUUCAGAUGGUUUCCCUUGUGCGAAUAACUCGGUCCACCAAGGCUUCCUAGGUUUUAUUUUGAUGCGGCCUCUUUGCCAUAGAGGCGGCAUCUUUUCCCUGGGAAAGUGAAACACCUGGUGAUGUCGUGACACGGCCGGGUCAAAGGCAAGGAACAUGCCCUCGACGUCGCACGGCCAUGGCGUCGGUGGGUGCGGCAAGCGGGCGCACCGCCUCGUCGUCGGGUUGCAAACGUAGACAUCCCUGACAUCCCUGAAAUAUUGUCCGUCCCGGAGAAGGAGGAGGCCGUUGCAGUGCUGCUGCACGACGGCCUGAUCGCCCCAGAUGAAAGGACGGCCGGAGCCGGGCUCGUUGGCGUCGUGCGGCUGGUGGCACGAGGAGCGCGAGGCCGGCGGGGCGAAGAAGGCGCAGUCGGACGGGCAUCCGCUGUAGGUGGUGUAGACACCGGGGAAGUCGCGCGGAAAGACGUGGGGGAGCAGCAGGUCGUGGGCGUCGACGACGGCGCGCCACGCGCGGCAGACGCACCGGGGCGCGGCCUGGGAGGCGGCGGAGGAUGCCGAGGAGGAGGUCGUAGGGGAAGCACAGGCCGUCGGCGUCGCUCGUGUCCAUCGGGGACGGUGGUGUGUCGUCGAUCGCGCGGCGCGAGGUUGCAGGAUCGGAGGGGACUUCCCGCAAAACCCUCGCGUCCGUUUUGGUAGCGGAAGUCCGGAUGAAAGGUGCCUUGGGUAUCACGGGUGAUAUACAACUCCGUACGUGUAUUUUCUUUGAGGGAAUCCUACACUGUUUCAUUGUAAAAACUAGUAUAAUGCCCGUGCGUUGCCACGGGCCUUUUAAUAUUUUUGUUGGUUGCAUAUUGAAACAUGAUGCCCUUCAAAUUUCACAUGUGUAGAAAAGAUUUCCAGUAACAGUCGACAAAUAUACUUGAUGCAAUGCAUUUCCAUUUUCCCACUUCACUUGCAUCUCCAUUAUUUCUUUUUAGUUGCAAUGUAUUAAAAAUGUAAUUUGGCAACAUAUACAUGAAGAGCAUAAAAUCAUAUACUUCCUCCGUUCUUAAAUAUAAGUUUUUUUAGAGAUUCCAAAACAGACUAUUUGCGGAGCAUAAUGAGUGAAUCUACACUCUAAAAUAUGUCUAUAUACAUCCGUAUGUAGUUUGUAUAGAAAUAUCUAUAUAGACUUAUAUUUAGAAAUGACGGGAGUACAAAAUAACCCAACACACACCUUUAAUAGUAGGCCAUAAAUUCGGAAGGCAACCUUUUACAAGGAAAUAUCACGUAUAUUUGUUGAGAUGAAUGAUCAUUAAAUUCCAUACAAUUUCUCUCCUAAGAAUAUCUAAGACAUGAAUCUUAAGAGUAAUAGUAACUGAAGAACAACAAGCAGCUAGAAGCCCUCGAUGGUGACACAACAGUUGAGGUUGGGGGUAUGCAGCUUCAUUUCUAUGAGAAGUCAAACAUUUAGGACCAAUCCGUAUAGGAAGAUGCAUAAGAAAAUAAGAGUAAUCUGAAAAUGUAAGGAUUAUAUUAUUUUGUCUUCCUGAGUCCGCUUCCCAAUGAAAUAUCUAUCAUUUCUUUUUAUUGCAAUAUCAGAGCCCCUCCACUUUCCAUUUUGUUUUUAGUUACAGUUCCAAGUCCUUCCUUCAGCAUAUGAUUAUUUCUGUAUGACUAAUAUACUUCUGCAUCUGCAUAUGAUUAUUCUUUUUUGAUAAGUUGUCAACAGUUUAGGCCAUUAACUAAUGAUAACACUGAGAGGCAAAGCGCAAUUGAGCAAAGUUUUUUUUAGCAAAGAACAACUCCGUACAAUAAAUUGGCAGGAGUCCUAGAUCCUCCGUGCAAGAUACUAUUAAGUGCUUCAAAAUAUAUAGUUCAAUGCACAUAAAAAUAAUUAAGCCACUAAUACCAUGAUGCAAUUAUUUAUUUUCUUGAUAUAGAAUAGUAAAGUACAAAAUUGACAGUUUAACAUUCAUAUGUAGAGAUAAGACUAUCCCAAAGAAAGAAGUUAUCUGAAAGGUGCACUCUAACCUGCAACAAUAAGGGGAGAACAUUAGAAACACAUAGGCUAGAUAAAAUGAUUGUCAUGAUCUUAAAUAAGCAAGCAAUAGAGCAGUGUCGUUCCCACAAAGGCAAAUGACAGAGUACAACAAAACUUGAAGUACCAAAACCAUCACAUCUUGAAAUGUGUUGUUUUCUUCAUCGACGGAUCUAACAGAAAUGAAUAGAAACCUGAUCGGGUGAAUGCUUGCAGUAUGGAACAAUAGAUCGACCAUGGGUACAAGAAAUGAAUUAAAUCCAAUAUUGAAUAAUCUCUUCACUCAUAUCUAGUGCUUUUGCAAGAAAGGAAUUAAAUUCCAUAUUGAGCAGUAGAUCUCUUGCUUUCAGCUUUACUUGAUUCUAUUGUUAACUGCAUUCCCAAAACAUAAUGCUCGCAUUCAAAAAUUUGAGUCAUCUAGCAAAACGUAGUUUAAUUUAUAAAGUUGUUGGUGCAGGCAUCCACUCUGCCUCUGAACCUCCAUUUCUCUUGUUGUCAUGGUCAUAUUUUUGCAGAAUUUUUUUAGAACCAUCAAGUGAGCUUGAGUUAGCUCAGAAGCUUAUAUGCAUCUAGAACUUUAAGUUAUACUCAAAACUCUACAGAAAGGUGAAAAAACAUGCUGGAACUAAGAACAGAUCAUGAAAUGUUGCAUAAAGUAGUGCCACACUAAAUACAGCCACGCCAUGGCUGAGAAAUCAGCUGCACAAACACCAAACUGUUUUGGUAAUUAAAUUAUUCACUAUUUCAAAUCGUAGAAGGGGGAAACGCAUGAAAGACAAACACCAUAGAUGACAAAUAAAACCUGCAACGCUUUCGUUGUAGACCCCCAAGCAGCACUUGAAACUAAAACUUGCACAUACCGCAAUCCACAUCCCAACAAAUCAUGCUAGUCUAGUACACAAAAGCUCCAUGAAGAAAGGCAUUAACUGUAAUAUAUUCAGAAGUUGUCCUGUGUAGCCAUGAGAUUAAUGAGAUAAGAAAUCACGAGUACAGCCGAGGUUUCAGAAAAAUAGUACGGAAUCACCUUCCUAGGCCUGAUGCCUCCAGCUGCAGGUAGUAGUGCGAAAGAGAUAGAUGCCAAGGAUGACAAGUGACAUCAUGCAAGCCAUUUUAGAAAUUGCUCCAUACCUGCAUACUACAAGAUCCUUCAGCACCAUCUGUAAUGGCAUCAGAUAUCUGAACAGUAGAAGCAAUAUGACAGAUUAAGAACUUGGUAACAUUAUAUGUGGAACCAAGGCCAUGUACCUGAUUAGUCACACGCCCCUGCCACCUGUCGGAUCCACACGAUAGCUCUGCGUACCAGUGAGGAUCCGAUGAUGUCAUUGCCUAGCUUCAUAGGAGGGAUCCUACAGCCACGCUUGCGCCACACCUCAUCACAACUGUGUCAUGGCGUCUUGUCCAAGACGAGGGGGAAAUCCGCCAGUCCCGUUUCCUUAGCCAUGACCUUCGCUGGUAGAGACCUGACUCUACUAAAAUCUCUAAUAUAUGACUUAAAAGGCAAUAGAAUCAAACAAUAGAAAGGGAAAAAAAUAAAUUGAUUAUCACCAUGGUGAAUGGAGUAGAUGUAACCAUAUUGUAGUACAUCUUAGAGCCGGUACAGAGGAUCACGAUGACAUAUUCAUGGCUAAGAAAAUAUAUGAUUCUGGGCAAGGUACAACCAUGCAUACUCCUUUGCUCCAUGUUCAUCUAAUUCAUAUGCUAAUGUAUAAGCUGACUGUCAAUGGAGCAAAUAGAGAACUAUGUGCAGGAGCUGAACAAUAAUUCUCAAGCUGAAGAACAAAUACCUCAAGAGAGGAGCAUAAUGGAGCAGCAGUUCUGGGGAGCCCCUCGCCUCAUGGAGUGGCGCAGAGGUAGGCUCCUCGCCCCGGCGACUGCGUGGUCCUCGCCUUAUGGAGGUGUGCGACGGUGCAGUGGCGUCGUCAUCCUCCUCACCUCCGAAUUAGUCUGAAGUUUCUAAAAACAUUACUCUCAAAAUCAAUAUUAAAUGAAGGCGAUCUUUUAGUUCUAACCAUUUCCCAAACAAUUUAAAAGACUGAACACUUGGGCAAAUACACGAUGGUUUCGCUGUUACUACCCACGAGUGCUCACUUCAGCAAAUUUCAGCUAAACAUACCCAAGACUUCACUUGCAAUCAAUUGUUCUGUUUUGAUCCAAGGUGAGCUAUAGUUGUUCAAUUCCCUGGACAUAGUUUGCUCAUAGCAACCUUCAUGGCUCUGUUUUGAUCUACAGAGCCUCGGCACACUAAUGAACCAGAUAACAACCUUGAGACAUACAAAUUAUCUCAAUCUACCUACCUGUCAAGAUGGACUUUGGCGCCGGCCCACUGAUCAUAUUUAGGAACUCAGAAAAUAUACCCACUCGAAACUCUCAACUUGCUCAUACCUCAUAAAAAGUCCAGCUAAUAUAAUGCUCUGGAAAUGAUUGUUCACUUCUAUAAGAAGGUUGAACGGCAUGUCCUACAUGUUGGUUCGUUAUGAAUCAAUUGUUGUCAUUCGCGCGCAACAACCUGAUCAACGACCGUCACUGACAUAUGCAAGACCGACGGUUCUCUGCCUCUAGCUUCCCCUGCAUUAACAAAUCGGAACACCAUUAGGUCCAUAGUCUAUGAUGUAAUUACAAAUGGUGACAUUAUUCAGCAAUAAAGUACGCAAGACUCAGUGAACACCGCAAAACAAUCUCCUGCAUGGAUUCACUCUCCUAUGCGUUUAGUUUGCUCUUCCCAUAACGUAUACCAAACUGUUCCGGCCAAACUUGUAGAACAAUAAUUUCCUGAUUGACUGCUCAUAUUCACUCUUUUACGAAGCUUGCCAAGUUCUGUCUGGAGGUGCACUACCAAGGCGAAGCCUGAAACCACUUCUUCAGUUAACAAACCAAGCGUAAAUGAGGAGCUCCUGGUCGGAGAAAGCAUACCUCCGUCGUGGGAACCAUGCCGGGGAGCUCCUGGUCGCCGGGUUGCGCGGCGGCUGCCGCGGCCCCCUCCUGCCGGUGGUAGAGGCAGCAGGUGACCCAGAGCAGCGCGGCCGCCUCGGCCUCCGCGAGCGCGAGCAGGCCGAGGAGGAAGCCCGCCAGGAACCCUGCGGCAGCCAUCCCGGGCUGAGCUCCUGACGGCGAAGGAGACAACGUUGGGGGGUAGGGAGGCGGGCACGGGUUAGGGUUUGGAGGGAGAGGAGAGGGGUGAGGCGGGAGGAGCAAGACGGCAGAGGAUUCUGCGGCGGCGGCGACGAUGGCAGCGAAGGAUUUUGCAGCGCGGGCGGCGACGGCAUCCACACCCUAGGAAAUACGAGGGAGAGGCAGAGGGGUGGCGGGUUUGGGUCAUGAGGCAGGCAGGGCGAGGGGCGGCGGCGGCGGCGGAAGGCGGGAGGCGGCGGCGGCGGAGGAAGGCGGAGGAAGGCGGCGGAGUGGGAUAUGAGGGAAAGAGAAAAGGGUUGAUCGAGAGGAGGGGCGAGAGGAGCGUGCGUCGAGGGGAUCGAGAGGAGCCUAGGGUUUUUUAGUGCGUGGGGGAGGACAUAAAAAACCAGCGAAAAACCCCCGGAAGAAGUAUCAUAGAAGUACCAAAAAAGGCCGAGUGAGGUGGGACGAAAAUAAAAUCCGAAACGCGACCUACCAACUGAGACAUUAGGAGUAGAGAAAAGGAGAGAGAGAGUAUUCUACAUGGUCGCUAACAUUUAGAGUUUAGUUGAGCUAAGACUAAGAGCUAGAGAGAGGCUCCUCGGACUUGCGAAAAAGGCACACGCCCCGCUUUUUAUACAUAAAACAACGAACAAAAUAAAUUCAACCCAUACAACUCGACCACACCACACACUCAAAGCAGGAUCCAAGAAAAUUACAUGUAGGAAGAAAGAGCACCGCUUGAAGUUUCAGGAGCCCUCAAGCGUGAAACGACGAACUGUAUACCCGAAGCCGGCACCUUCAAGAAGGGCAUGACAUCAGAGAGCCAGCACGACACGAUCCAAGGAUCAAGGUUUCCCCCAGAGCAACAUGGAGGGCAAAGAGAAACCGCGAUGACGCCUUCAGGAAGGAGACGACUCCCAAAGGCGCCGCCGCCGUCGGCUUCGCAGAACCAGAGAGGAUUUCCACCUCGGUAAACGCUCUUCCCCUUCGAGACGUAGCACAACAAGACAUGAAGAUGUUCGCUACGCCACCAUCACCGUCGCGCCCAAUGUGGCACCUCCAGAUCACGGCAAGGUCGAGUAUGGGAGUCUCCCUUCCUCCCCAUUGAAGCACCCCUGCCACCCCGCCCCGCCACCUACGUGACGGGUAGAACCACCACCACCAGCCCAAAGGGAUCUUCCACCAGUUGCUGCACCAAAUGCAUACAUGAGGAAAAGAGGAACGGUCGAGCCCCACUAUCGCGCUGCCACUUCCGCCAGGGAAAAGCCAUCGUAGGGACGGAUCUGACCAUGCCGCGAAUGGCAGACCACCGUCACCUCCUGGACGAGCGCCACCAGCAUGAAGCCCGUCACGCAGCACCCGCACCCGUGCACCAUCACCUCCGCCGAUGCGACGCCUCUCCGUGGCGCCCUACGGCAGUACUCCGUCCAGGUUCGGUACUGAAGGCCUGCGCUGACACCCCCGUGCAUGGAGAUGAAAAAAACCCGCCGCCAGCGCGACGACCAGGCUUCGCCCUCUGGCGACGGCGAGGGAGGAGGAGGGGGGAGUUUCGGUGGAGGCGGCUUUCNNNNNNNNNNNNNNNNNNNNNNNNNNNNNNNNNNNNNNNNNNNNNNNNNNNNNNNNNNNNNNNNNNNNNNNNNNNNNNNNNNNNNNNNNNNNNNNNNNNNNNNNNNNNNNNNNNNNNNNNNNNNNNNNNNNNNNNNNNNNNNNNNNNNNNNNNNNNNNNNNNNNNNNNNNNNNNNNNNNNNNNNNNNNNNNNNNNNNNNNNNNNNNNNNNNNNNNNNNNNNNNNNNNNNNNNNNNNNNACGAGGGAGGGGAUAUGGUUUGGACCACCAAGAGGCAUCCUAUUGCAUCAAAGGAUGUAGUUCCUUGGACUUAACUCUUGAACCCUAGAAGACAUGCAUGGUUUUACAAGAGUAUUUUAUAUGAAAAAUAAUAUUGAAUUAUUCAAAAACAACUACGGAGUUAAGUUUAGGGGGGUGGGUAGGAGCAAAAAAAUUAACUCCUCAAAUUUUGAGCAGUUAAGUUUUGGGUGGUCCAAGGAGUUAAGUUUUAGGGGAAGGGUUAUAGAUGCUCUAAUGCCAUGACAUCUCGGUUUGCCGGCCAGGGGUACGCCAGGCACCCUUCACCGAGUGUUACACUCGGCAAAGCCUUUGUCGAGUCUUUUUUUACCCUUCACAUAGUAUUUUAGGUACUCGUCAUGUGCUGCAAAAUCGGCUACAUAAUUUACACAUGCAGGUGUAUCUAAUUUUGUUUCAAUUUGGAGUGGCCUUCAAAAAUUAUCUCAAUCGAGCAUGGGAUGUCCAUUCCGCUAAGGUUUUUCUUAGCCAAAAUCAAUGGUUAUUAUAUCGAUUGGCCCGAUAUGACAACCGUGCUAGAGUUUGCUCUUAGAAUCGUUAAAGGCGGUUUUCCAUAUGAUGCGAGGGUACAAUCUAAAAUUUACUCCACUAAGUUUUGACCGGACCUAGCCGAUUCUUUAUAUAUAACGGAGUAAAACUUACUUUCGGCUCGUGCAUUUUGCCGUGCUAUGCGCCCCCGCGAUGAUGGUGACCAAGCCGACACGGCUAGGAGCACACCGGACACGCUUGAAGUCGCCGGUCUUCUCAUUGCCGAUUUCCUUUUAGUCGGGGUGUUCGACGGGAGGGCACCAGCAGCGUCAGGGACCUCGUCGCGGCGCUGCCCAAGACCUCGCCGCACUGCUGCCCAAGGCCGCGCUGCGCCAGCAGCGUCAACGAUACUUCUAAAUCAAUUGAUGUCAUGUUUGUAUUCAAGUAUCCGGUUGCAUUGCCCAACUAUCUGAUCGCUGGAGGCACCAUAUGGACAGGUGAAUAGCACGGAGCUGACAACAAACAAAAUCUCUGUGUCUUGGCGACGGCGACGAGAACAUGGGGUAGUUCUUGUACCCGGAGGUGAUGGAUUACCAUAUGUGAAACACCUACGACAUGCACUUCUACGCCUCCUUCGCGCUGCUCUCCCUCUUCCUGGAGCUCGAGCUUAGCCUCCCGUCGCGGUGGAAGGACCUCAACCCCAAGUUCGUGAUGCAGGUCUACCGUGGCGUCGUCGCCUUCGCCAAGGCGGUGUGGCCGCUGGCGUACCUGGCCAUGGCUUACAUGGACCAGUCAAACGUGACAGAGGCCGCGACCGAGCUCGUCCAUGGCGGCCGCCGUAACGACGACCAGUACGGGCGUGGGGGCGGCAUCGCGCCGGGGUAGGGCGCUGGGGUAGGGUGAGGGCUUGGCUGGGGAAGGGGCGGCGGCACAGAGCUCAUGGGAGGCCCGACGGCUGAGCGCAGAAGCAGCAGGAGGAGGCGAGAGAGGUGCGAAAUUUUUACUCCAUGCGAGAGCGGUGGAGUAAAAAUAACGGAGGGACAGAGGCUGGACUAUACUUUUUACUCCCUUACGGCGGAUUAGGGAUCGGUUAGCUGCUCCUCUAGCACUGGAUAGGGGAUCGGUUAGAAAUGUCCUUAGGUGGGUUAACAUAUCGAAGAAAAAAAACAUAUCGACGCGAGGGUAAAGCCUAAAGCUAGGUGGGUUAACAUAUCAAUGCAGAGGACGGGCUCACAUGGCUCUACUCCACCCUAGCCAAAACAGGCAAAGCACGAUAUUUCCUCAACAUGGGUUCACUUCACCCAUCUCAUCUCACACAAGCCGAGUGCACGUAAGAGAUCCUGCCCGGCUAAGCCACCUCCCCGGUUCCUGCUCAUAACCAUCACCUUUCCCAUCCCACACCACACUUAGCAAGUGCUACAGAUUCUGCCCAGCCUCCUCUCCAUCGAUCGGUUUCUCCACCUCACACCUCUCCGCAGAGCCGAGCAGAGCCCAGGCAGAGAGAGGCAGGGGAUGAAGCGCAUAGUGGGGAGCCCAGGGACAUGGAGCGGCAUGGUGCUGCGUCUGUCGCAGUGCUUCUUCGCCGCCGCAUCUUCCCUUGCCAUGUGCUCCGCUUUCGGCUUCUCCAACUACAGCGCCUACUUGUAAUUUCAUUCUCCCACAACUGUUUCUUCUAUUCUUCCUUCCCCCUUUGUGUGUUUUCUUGCAAAUUCAUGAGCAAAUCACUCAAGUAGCAAGCAUAUAACUAUGUUUCAUUUUGGGUCUUUCAAGGUUUUGGUUAAAUUGCGUGGAGUUCUUCUCUUUCUUUCAAGAUUAAUUUUUAGCGAAGUUUCAUGCACAAAAGGCUAGAUGGCGUUAGUGUCGAAUACUACACAUUUUCCUUCGGUGUCAUGGCCCAAUUUUUUGGGGAACACAUGGAUUGACUUCUUAAACUAUAGUAUCUGCUAAUCAGUACAUCAUGCAUACACAAGUAUCUAUCUACAUUUAACUUGGCACAUACAAAAUACGGCAGAAUCAGGAGGCUUCGUUUUGCUAAACUUCGAAACAUAUCUCCAUGACUACCUUCAAUCCUUCGAAAGCGUAUUUGUCCAGUCCGUCACCCACCUAGUAGUGAAUAUAUGGCCUCAAGGAAAUGCCACUUUAUUAGGUGAUUUCCUAAUUCAAGUUCCAAGAGUGUUUAUGUAGUAGUAGAUUUCGUUCCAUUACAAAGUUUAUGCCCAUUUGCAGCACUACAAACUCGACAUUGUACAUAUUUAUAUUCAAUCGUCGAUAAUCUGGGGAGUUUACUUGAACUUAAGUGUUCUUUUCUUUAUGUUUUUUGUGAAAGACUAGAUACAGUGUUUGUCUAAUAUGUACGCUGCAGCAUUUUGGUUUCCCAGUGAAUCCUUAUUGUCAGUGUCAAAUCUCUUGUUGCCGUUCAAUAUUAAAGAUGAAUAUUCCCAAAGAUUAUAUGUCACACAACCCAACUUCUAGGCAUGUGCACUUGUUGAGGACUUACACAAGAUAGGAAACAUGCAGUGCAGGUUAGGCCAUCCUACCAAUUGACCUCUCCAUAGAAUCUUUCCAAGUUAACAUUCACUUGGCACAAUCUAGUCAGGGACCAGUUUGUAUCAUCCGAAACUCACAACAGAGCGUCGUGUUUCAUUCAAUACCUACUCCCAUGAUAAAAGAAUUUAUGAGGAUCAUGCAAGUGAGGUUCUAUGUCAGCAUGUGACAUAUCUUGACUGUUGUACAAGUGUGCCGUUGUGCGCCAAUGAUGUAACUUUUUCAUAUCAAGUUCAUAUCACUGAGACUAUGAACUGCAUAAAGUCGUAAGUGUCUUUAUUACUCUUAGAAUUGCUUAGGCAGGAGCUUAAGUGUGUUUUGUUGACAUAAACUAACGAGCAUAUUAUGGUCUCUGUUUAUUUCAGCUACAUGAAUCUAGUGUUGAUCCUGCAGCUUUUGUGGAGUUUGUACUUGGCUUGUCAGGAUAUAUUUUCUCUGAGGAAUAACAGGGAUCUUCAUGCCCCGGAUUUUCUAUUGUUCUUUGUUAUCAUUGAUUGGGUAAGUCGUACACUUUGUCACUGCUAUUGUCCAUGCAACUAUGCCUGGAUUAACUGAAGGCAUGCACUGAAACAACUUAACCCAGUUUUUUUUAUCAACAUUAAUUAGUUCUUACGAAAAGUGAAAUUCAGGAUAAUUGCAACGCAUGCUUCUCUAUUGGCUAAGCUCUUGUUUUGCCUCCCUGUAUGAGAAUAAGACAGCCUUAAAUAGACUUGCUGUUUACCUUUGGUGCUCGGUCGAACUUUGGUGACAAAUUUUCCACAUGAGCAAGAAAUUUUAACAACUGAUAUGCUUUGCAUUACCUUUUGGUUGACCAACGGUAUGUGAGUGAUCACAUCACUUGUGAAUGCAUUGCAGGUCAUGGCAAUUCUCAUGUUCUCUGCAUUCUGUGCCUCUGCCAGCGUGACGAUUUUCUUCAUGAAGGAUAUGAACUUCUGCGCGGAAUACCGGCGUCUGGACUGCAAUCAGUUCACACUUUCAGUCACUCUGGCGUUCUUUACAUGGUUGUUGCAAGCUGCGUCUUCUUUCUCCGGGUUCUGGCUACUGGUUUCCUUCUUCUAGUGAUCUCAUGCGCUCAUAAGCACCGUCAGCAUCGUGCUAACUGUCGGUCAGGAGGAUAAAUCAGUUGCAAUGUCCUCAGGCACACAUCAUACAUUACUUGUUACAUAGAUUGUCUGUUUGAUUGAUAGCUCAGGUGUUGGUUAUGAGCACCUUGAGGUGGAACAAUUACUAUUUACAUGAUGUGGGACCAUUAAUAUGAAGUGUAAUAUAUAGAGAUAAGUCGUGAUCAACUGUACCUAGGGCUGGACAUACGAGCGAGCUUUUAGGCUCGGCUCGAAGCUCGCUCCAGCUCGGCCCGUUAGAGCUCGGCCCGAUAGGAUAAUUAGGCGAGCCGAGCUAUGAAAAUAGGCCCGAUUCCCGACAGAGCCGAGCCGAGUUUCGCCCGGUCCAACUCGGUGACUCGUUCAAGCCCAGCCCAAUCCCGUCGACCUCGCAGGGCGUUAGGUCACAGCGAGCGUGCGACGCAGUUUCCUCACCCUUCUCCCUUUCUCUGGUCGGCUCCGCCACCCCUCUCCUUGCCGCGCUGCAAGCUGCACUCAUCGGGCGCGGCACCGACGGGGACGGCCGACGCCGCUUUCCCUCACCACAGCAGACAUGUCUCCCCUGGUUUCUCACCGAAUGACAUGAGUAGGUAAGCGAUCUCCAUUGUCAGUACCCUAGCGAUGACAAAGGCGUGUGCAAGGGAAGGGAAGCGGAAAGAAGGAGUGGCGAAGGCGUAAAGUAGUGGCGGGAAGGUUCAAGUGCGAUGCGGGCUGCAAUUGGGAAAUAGUGGGCUAGUGGGCCGAGGCAGAAAGCCCAUGUAAACCUGCGUGUUAUAAGCAGGAGAACGUUGGAGAAGGGGAUAUCGAAAACUGUAAUUCAAACCUUACCUCUCGUUUAUCCAGCUUAUCCUCUCUGGUUUCUGUCUCCUACCUUUGCUUCUCUCCUCUGAUCCCGACCCCGAGCUGAAGUCCGUCGCCGGCGAAACUCCUCAGAGUCUAGUCGUGACAAUCUGGUAUUCAGAGCCACCUCCUCGCUCCGCCGUGCGCCAAUUUUUUUUUGCCUGAAUCGUACCCGGUAAAUCCAAGGCGACGGUCGCGGAUCGCCUGAGGGCUUGAUCUGUGUAAAUCCCGAUCUGAGGUGGGUUGAUUUGGGGACAGUUGGCCACAACGACGACAUUCAAGCCGAAUCAGCAGACGCGCUUCAUCGCGGAGGAGAUGGAGGCGUUCUAGGAGCGCAUGCUGAAGGAGUUCGCCGAGAUCCGGGAGGCGCAACGCAAGCUGGAAGUAGUCGAUGGGAUCUGCGCGCAGUUGGUGGCGCUCGACGCCAAGCUGAUGGAGCAAUCGACGCGCCUCGACCAGGUCCAAGUGAUGGUGGAUCUCUCCUGUGACACACUGGGGCAGGUACAACAGAGUCAGUUCCAUAUCGCGCAGAAGGGGAAGCCACCGGAGGUACCAGAGACCUCGUAGCCGACAGCGUCGGAAGUAUCCGAUGGCAUACUCGGCCCCAGGCCGCCGUUCGCGGCUCAGGUGUUGCCUCGUCCAGUUCAGGUACCACCCAGCAACCCUCUAUCCCAACAAGUAGUGCAGUCAGUUCAGGAGGAAAAUUCAGGCAAGCGCAAGUGGAUGCCCAAAAUGGAUUUCCCCCGUUUCGAUGGAUGUGAUGUCAGGAUUUGGUUAGAUAAAUGUGAGGCGUUCUUCAAAUUAUACAAUAUUCCUGACAACUUCAAGGUCACGUACGCUUCAUUGUACUUGAUCGAUAAUGCUGCUAGUUGGUAUCAGGCAUUCAAACAAACCAGCGCCUAUCACACUUGGCCACAGUUCUUUGCAGCAGUUGUGCAGGAAUUUGAUGUAAAUGUGUACAGGCAGCGGAUGAAGGAACUGAUGUCCCUCAAACAGGUGGAAUCAGUGGAAGAGUAUAGGCAAAAGUUCCUCCAACUGGUAUACACAAUCAGGUUGUAUGAACCGUUGAUUAGUGACACCUUCUUAGUCACUCGCUUUAUUAUGGGGCUCAAAUCAGAGCCACGGUCAGCGGUGGAGUUUCAGAUACCAACAACUGUUCAGGCCAUAGCGAUGUAUGCGUCUGUUCAAGAAGGACUGUUGCUGCAGCAGAAAACUGUCAGAUGCAAUUACCAGAAAACUACCUUUACCAAACCUGAAACUAGGCCAGCAUUGGCUACUGGUGAUGUGUGGAAAGCAAAACAGUUGAAAGAAUACCAAAGAGCCAACGGCCUGUGUUAUAAAUCUGGUCCAAAUCACCAGUAUGACUAUCGAAAUCGUGAGCAUCAGCAUGUAGGUUCCAGAUCCAAGUGGUAGUAUCAGGGCCCUUAGCUAGUGUUCUUGAGAAAUGGCCAUAUUUGUCAUUUGCUUUUCGUUUUGAAAACUUGACUUAUCAAAGAGGGGCCAGGGGGCUGGAAGAGAAGAACUUGAAUGCUAAACGCUGGAAGAGAAGAACCUUUUAAGUUCGUUCCUGGUCAUGUAUGUAGUCAGUUGCCUAUGGCUGACGCUCAACUAAAACAACAGAAACAGUGGUGCAGAACAAAAUAAUUUCAGAUGCUCUAUUGGAUGCUCUCAUUGAUCAAUAUACAGCAGACUGUGCUACUAUUUCAGUUACUGCCUUGUCAGGAGCAGCUCAUCCAAAAACCAUACAACUGAGGGCCUUAGUGGGGAACCAGGUGGUGCUCAUCUUAGUGGACUCAGGGAGCACCCACACUUUUGUGGACCAGGCACUGCUCAACAGGGUGUCGGUUACUACAGAAAAGUUGGCUAGACCUAUGCAGGUCAAAGUGGCUAAUGGGGAACAGGUUCAAUGCUCUGAAAGAGUGCCUCAGUUAACCUGGUGGAUUCAGGGACACAACUUCACAAAUGCAAUGCAUGUGCUUCCUCUUGGAGGACAUGAUAUUAUUCUGGGCAUGGAUUGUCUAGAACAAUGGGGAGUGAUGCAAUGUCACUGGGCAGAGAAGUGGAUCCAAUUCAAAUAUUCAGGACAUGAGGUAAAGAUGCAAGGUGUAAUUCGUGUCACACCAGCAGAAAUUAAAGAAGUAACAGCAUAACAACUAUUAAAAUGGGAGAAAGGCAAUGAAGUUUGGGCCACUGUUGUGUUAAACAGAAUUGUAAUGGCACCUGAAACACUAGUACCUCCUGCUGUACAAGAAUUACUGCAACAACAUAACACUGUGUUCAAGGAUCCUCAGACAUUACCUCCUCACAGACCACUGGAUCAUGCCAUUCACCUAAUCCCUGGGGCUGUCCCUGUUAAUUGCAGACCAUACAGGUACUCUCCACUACAGAAGGAUGAAAUAGAGAGACAGGUGUCUAAAAUGCUGAAAGCUGGGUUAAUCACACCAAGCAUUAGUCCUUUUGCUUCUCCUGUUCUCCUGGUAAAGAAGAAGGAUGGAACUUGGAGGUUCUGUGUGGACUAUAGAAAGCUGAAUGACAUUACCAUAAAGAGCAAGUUCCCCUACCAGUAAUUGAUGAAUUACUGGAUGAGUUAGGAGGUGUUAAGUGGUUUUCAAAACUAGAUUUAAAAGCUGGAUAUCAUCAUAUUCGAAUGAAGGAGGAAGAUGAGCACAAGACAACAUUUAAAACACACCAUGGCCAGCUCCAAUUCAGGGUGGUGCCUUUUGGACUGGCUACUGCUUCAGGCACAUUUCAAUGUAAUAUGAAUGUGUUUAUGGCAGGGCCUAACAGAAAAUAUGUGUUGGUAUUCAUGGAUGAUAUCUUGGUAUUCAGCAUCACUCUGGAAGAGCAUGUUCAGCAUUAGAGGUCUGUGUUUGAAAUUCUGGCUGAAAAUCAGUUAUAUGUGAAACAAAGUAAGUGUGUGUUUGCCCAGCAGUCCAUGGAAUAUUUGGACCACAUCAUCUCUGACAAGGGUGUAGCUAUUGAUCCUGCAAAAACAGAAGCUAUGGUCAAUUGUCCUAUACCAACAAAUGUGACUGAGCUACGAGGAUUCUUGGGGUUAACAGGUGUUGGGGAACAUAGCAGAAAUUCAAAAUUUUCCUACGUGUCACCAAGAUCUAUCUAUGGAGAAACCAGCAACGAGGGGAAGAAGAGUGCAUCUACAUACCCUUGUAGAUCGCUAAGCGGAAGCGUACAAGAUAACGGGUUUGAAGGAGUCGUACUCGUCGUGAUCCAAAUCACUGGAGAUCCUAGUGCCGAACGGACGGCACCUCCACGUUCAACACACGUAUAGCCCGGUGACGUCUCCCAUGCCUUGAUCCAGCAAGGAGAGAGGGAGAGGUUGAGGAAGACUCCAUCCAGCAGCAGCACAAUGGCGUGGUGGUGGUGGAGGAGCGUGGCAAUCCUACAGGGCUUCGCCAAGCACCGCGGGAGAGGAGGAGUAAGAGAGGUAGGGCUGCGCCAGGGAGAGGCCAAAACUCAUGUGUUGGCAGCCCUCAAGACCUCAACUAUAUAUAGGGGAGAGGGAGGGGGGUGUGCCCCCUCUAGGGUUUCCACCCCAAGGGGUGCGGCAGCCCCAAUCCCAUCUAAGGGUGGCGGCCAAUGGGGGGGAAGAGGGGAAACUUGCCCCCCAAGUUAGGUGGAAGCCCCCCCUCCCCAAACCCUAGGCGCCUUGGGCCCUUGUGGGGGGCACACCAGACCACCUAGGGCUGGUCCCUUCCCACACUUGGCCCAUGCAGCCCUCCGGGGAUGGUGGCCCCACUUGGUGGACCCCCGGGACCCUCCCGGUGGUCCCGGUACGUUACCGAAAAAACCCGAAACUUUUCCGGUGACCAAAACAGGACUUCCCAUAUGUAAAUCUUUACCUCCGGACCAUUCUGGAACUCCUCGUGAUGUCCGGGAUCUCAUCCAGGACUCCGAACAACAUUCGGUAACCACAUACAAACUUCCUUUAUAACCCUAGCGUCAUCGAACCUUAAGUGUGUAGACCCUACGGGUUCGGGAACCAUGCAGACAUGACCGAGACGUUCUCCGGUCAAUAACCAACAGCGGGAUCUGGAUACCCAUGUUGUCUCCCACAUGUUCCACGAUGAUCUCAUCGAAUGAACCACGAUGUCAAGGACUCAAUCGAUCCCGUAUACAAUUCCCUUUGUCUAGCGGUAUGGUACUUGCCCGAGAUUCGAUCGUCGGUAUCCUGAUACCUUGUUCAAUCUCGUUACCGGCAAGUCUCUUUACUCGUUCCGUAACACAUCAUCCCGUGAUUAACCCCUUGGUCACAUUGUGCACAUUAUGAUGAUGUCCUACCGAGUGGGCCCAGAGAUACCUCUCCGUUACACGGAGUGACAAAUCCCAGUCUCCAUUUGUGCCAACCCAACAGACACUUUCGGAGAUACCUGUAGUGCACUUUUAUAGCCACCCAGUUACGUUGUGACGUUUGGUGCACCCAAAGCAUUCCUAUGGUAUCCGGGAGUUGCACAAUCUCAUGGUCUAAGGAAAUGAUACUUGACAUUAGAAAAGCUUUAGCAUACGAACUACACGAUCUUUAGUGCUAGGCUUAGGAUUCGGUCUUGUCCAUCACAUCAUUCUCCUAAUGAUAUGAUCCCGUUAUCAACGACAUCCAAUGUCCAUGGUCAGGAAACUGUAACCAUCUAUUGAUCAACGAGCUAGUCAACUAGAGGCUUACUAGGGACAUGGUGUUGUCUAUGUACCCACACAUGUAUCUGAGUUUCCUAUCAAUACAAUUAUAGCAUGGAUAAUAAACGAUUAUCAUGAACAAGGAAAUAUAAUAAUAACUAAUUUAUUAUUGCCUCUAGGGCAUAUUUCCAACAGUAUCCCACUUGCACUAGAGUCAAUAAUCUAGUUCAGAUCGCCAUGUGAUUAACACUGACAGGUCACAUCGCCAUGUGACCAACAUCCAAAGAGUUUACUAGUGUCACUAAACUAGUUCACAUCAUCAUGUGAUUAAGACUCAAUGAGUUCUGGGGUUUGAUUAUGCUUUGCUUGUGAGAGAGGUUUUAGUCAACGGAUCUGCAACAUUCAGAUCCGUAUGUACUUUGCAAAUCUCUAGGUCAUAUUGUAAAUGUUGCUUCCACGCUCCACUUGGAGCUAUUCCAAAUGGUUGCUCCACUAUACGUAUCCGUUUUGCUACUCAGAGUCAUUCGGAUAGGUAUUAAAGCUUGCAUCGACGUAACCCUUUACACCGAACUCUUUAUCACCUCCAUAAUCGAGAAAGAUGUCCUUAUUACUCCUAGGACAAUUUUGACCGCUAUUUGGUGAUCCACUCCUUGAUCACCUUUGUACCCUCUUGCCAGACAUGUGGCAAGGAACACAUCAGGUGCGGUACUUAGCAUAGCAUACUGUAGAGCCUACAUCUAAAGCAUAGGGGAUGACCUUCAUCCUUUCUCUCUCUUCUGCCGUGGUCGAGCUUUAAGUCUUAACUUCAUACCUUACAACUCAGGCAAGAACUCCUUCUUUGACUGAUCCAUCUUGAACACCUUCAAGAUGACGUCAAGGUAUGUGCUCAUUUGAAAGUAUUAUUGAGCGGUUUUUGAUCUAUCCUCAUAGAUCUUGAUGCUCAAUGUUCAAGCAGCUUAAUCCAGGUUUUCUAUUGAAAAACACUUUUCAAAUAACCCUAUAUGCUUUCUAGAAAUUCUACUUCAUUUCUGAUCAAUAAUAUGUCAACAACAUAUACUCAUCAGAAAUUCUAUAGUGCUCCCACUCACUUCUUUGGAAAUACAAGUUUUUCAUAAACUUUGUAUAGACCCAAAAUCUUUGAUCAUCUCAUCAAAGCGUAGAUUCCAACUCCGAGAUGCUUACUCCAGUCCUUAGAAGGAUUGCUGGAGCUUUGCAUACUUGUUAGCGUCUUUCAGGAUUGUCAAAAACCUUCUGGUUGUAUCACAUACAACCUUUCCUCAAGAAAACUGUCAAGGAAACAAUGUUUUGACAUCCUAUAUGCAAGAUUUCAUAAAUAAUGCAGUAACUGCUAAUCCAAUUCCAACAGACUCUUAGCAUUGCUACGAGUGAGAAAACCUCACCGUAGUCAACUCCUUGAACUUGUCGGAAAACAUCUUUAACGACAAGUCGAGCUUUCUUAAUGGUGAUACUUACCAUCAUUGUCUGUCUUCCUUUUAAAAUCCAUCUUUACCCAACGGCCUUACGACCAUCAAGUAUUUCUUCCAAAGUCAUGGAUCCUCUCUCGGAUUUUAUGGCCUUGAGCCAUUCAUCAGAAUUCGGGCCCACCAUCGCUUCUCCAUAGCUCGUAGGUUCAUUGUUGUCUAGCAACAUGACCUCUAAGACAGGAUUGCGUACCACUCUGAAGUAGUACGCGUCCUUGUCGACCUACGAAGUUCGGUAGUGACUUGAUCCGAAGCAUCAUGAUCACUAUCAUCAGCUUCCGCUUCAAUUGGUGUAGGUGCCACAUGAACAACUUCCUGUGUCCUGCUACACACUGGUUGAAGUGAUGGUUCAAUAGCCUCAUCAAGUCUCCACCAUCCUCCCACUCAAUUCUUUCGAGAGAAACUUUUCCUCGAGAAAGGACCCGUUUCUAGAAACAAUUACUUUUGCUUCCUGAUCUGAGAUAGGAGGUAUACCCAACUGUUUUGGGUGUCCUAUGAAGAUGCAUUUUUAUUCGCUUUGGGUUCGAGCUCAUCAACCUGAAACUUUUUCACAUAAGCGUCGCAGCCCCAAACUUUUAAGAAACGACAACUUAGGUUUCUCCAAACCAUAGUUCAAACGGUGUCGUCUCAACGGAAUUACGUGGUGCCCUAUUAAAGUGAGUGCGGUUGUCUCUAAUGCCUAACCCAUGAACGAUAGUGGUAAUUCGAUAAGAGACAUCAUGGUACGCACCAUAUCCAAUAGGGUGUAACUAUGAUGUUCGGACACACCAUCACCCUAUGGUGUUCCAGGCGGUAUUAAUUGUGAAACAGUUUCCACAAUGUCUUAAUUGAGUGCCAAAGCUCGUAACUCAGAUACUCAUCUCUAUGAUCAUAUCAUAGACAUUUUAUCCUCUUGUCACGAUGAUCUUUAACUUCACUCUGAAAUUACUUGAACCAUUCAAUAAUUCAGACUUGUGUUUCAUCAAGUAAAUAUACUCAACAUCUACUCGAAUCAUCUGUGAAGUAAGAACAUAACGAUAUUUAAUGCAUGCCUCAGCACUCAUUGGACUGCACACAUCAAAAUGUGUUACUUCCAACAAGUUGCUAUCUUGUUCCAUCUUACUGAAACCGAGGCUUUUCAGUCAUCUUGCCCAUGUGGUAUGAUUUGCAUAUCUCAAGUGAUUUAAUAUCAAGUGAGUCCAAACGAUCCAUCUGCAUGGAGUUUCUUCAUGCGUAUACACCAAUAGACAUGGUUCGCAUGUCUCAAACUUUUCAAAACGAGUGAGUCCAAAGAUCCAUCAACAUGGAGCUUCUUCAUGCGUUUUACCCCAUUAUGACUUACGUGGCAGUGCUACAAGUAAGUGGUACUAUCAUUACUAUCUUAUAUCUUUUGGCAUGAAAAUGUGUAUCACUACGAUCGAGAUUCAAUAAACCAUUCCUUUAGGUGCAAGACCAUUGAAGGUAUUAUUCAAAUAAAUAGAGUAACCAUUAUUCUCCUUAAAUGAAUAACUGUAUUGCAAUAGACAUAAUCCAAUUAUGUCUAUGUUCAACGCAAACAUCAAAUGACAAUUAUUCAGGUUUAAUACUAAUCUUGAUGGUAGAGGGAGCGUGCGAUGUUUGAUCACAUCAAACUUGGAAACACUUCCAACACAUAUUGUCAGCUCACCUUUAGCUAGUCUCCGUUUAUUCCGUAGCUCUUUUAUUUCGAGUUACUAACACUUAGCAACCGAACCGGUAUCUUAAUACCCUGGUGCUACUAGGAGUACUAGUAAAGUACACAUUAACAUAAUGUAUAUCCAAUAUACUUCUAUCGACCUUGCCAGCCUUCUCAUAUACCAAGUAUCUAGGGUAAUUUUGCUCCAGUGGCUGUUCCCCUUAUUACAGAAGCACUUAGUCUCGGGUUUGGGUUCAACCUUGGGUUUCUUCAUUAGAGCAGCAGCUGAUUUGCUGUUUCAUGAAGUAUCCCUUCUUGCCCUUUCCCUUUUUGAAACAGUGGUUUCACCAACCAUCAACAAUUGAUGCUCCUUCUUGAUUUCUACUUUCGCGGUGUCAAACAUCGCGAAUACCUCAAGGAUCAUCAUAUCUAUCCCUGAUAUGUUAUAGUUCAUCACGAAGCUCUAGCAGCUUGGUGGCAAUGACUUUGGAGAAACAUCACUAUCUCAUCUGGAAGAUCAACUCCCACUUGAUUCAAGUGAUUGUUGCACUCAGACAAUCUGAGCACAAGCUCAACGAUUGAGCUUUUCUCCCUUAGUUUGCAGGCUAAGAAAAUCGUCGGAGGUCUUAUACCUCUUGACGCGGGCACGAGCCUGAAAUCCCAAUUUCAGCCCUCAAAACAUCUCAUAUGUUCCGCGACAUUUCGAAAACGUCUUUGGUGCCUCAACUCUAAACCGUUUAACUGAACUAUCACGUAGUUAUCAAAACGUGUAUGUCCGAUGUUUGCAACAUCCACAGACGAUGUUUGGGGUUCAACACACUGAGCGGUGCUUUAAGGACAUAAGCUUUCUAUUGUCCGCAUAAUCGCUACUAUCAACUUUCAACUAUAUUUUCUCUAGGAACAUAUCUAAAAUAGUAGAAAUUUGCAAAGGGUCUUUUGACUAUGUUCAGGAUAAUUAAGUUCAUCUUAUGGACUCCCACUCAGAUAGACAUCCCUCUAGUCAUCUAAGUGAUUACAUGAUCCGAGUCAACUAGGCCGUGUCCGAUCAUCACGUGAGACGGACUAGUCAUCAUCGGUGAACAUCUUCAUGUUGAUCGUAUCUACUAUACGACUCAUGCUCGACCUUUCGGUCUCUUGUGUUCUGAGGCCAUGUCUGUACAUGCUAGGCUCGUCAAGUCAACCUAAGUGUUUCGCGUGUGUAAUCUGGCUUACACCCAUUGUAUGUGAACGUAAGAAUCUAUCACACCCGGUCAUCACGUGGUGCUUCCAAACGACGAAUUUCGCAACAGUGCACAGUUAGGGGGAACACUUUCUUGAAAUUUUAAUGAGGGAUCAUCUUAUUUACUACCGUCGUUUUAAGCAAAUAAGAUGCAUAAACAUGAUAAACAUCACAUGCAAUCAAAUAGUGACAUGAUAUGGCCAAUAUCAUUUUGCUCCUUUUGAUCUCCAUCUUUGGGGCUCCAUGAUCAUCGUCGUCACCGGCAUGACACCAUGAUCUCCAUCAUUGUGUCUCCAUGAAGUUGUCUCGCCAACUUAUUACUUCUACUACUAUGGCUACCGGUUGGCAAUAAAGUAAAGUAAUUACAUGGCAUUGUUCAAUGACACACAGGUCAUACAAUAAAUUAAGACAACUCCUAUGGCUCCUGCCGGUUGUCAUACUCAUCGACAUGCAAGUCGUGAUUCCUAUUACAAGAACAUGAUCAAUCUCAUACAUCACAUAUCAUUCAUCACAUUCUUCUUGGCCAUAUCACAUCACAUAGCAUACCCUGCAAAAACAAGUUAGACGUCCUCUAAAUGUUGUUUGCAUGUUUUACGUGGCUGCUAUGGGUUUCUAGCAAGAACGUUUCUUACCUACGCAAAACCACAACGUGAUAUGCCAAUUGCUAUUUACCCUUCAUAAGGACCCUUUUCAUCGAAUCCGUUCCAACUAAACUGGGAGAGACUAGCACCCGCUAGCCACCUUAUGCACCAAGUGCAUGUCAGUCAGUGGAACCUGUCUCACGUAAGAGUACAUGUAAGGUCGGUUCGGGCCGCUUCAUCCCACAAUACCGUCGAAACAAGAUUGGACUAGUAACGGUAAGCAUAUUGAACAAAAUCAACGCCCACAACUACUUUGUGUUCUACUCGUGCAAAUAAUCUACGCAAUAGACCUAGCUCAUGAUGCCACUGUUGGGGAACGUAGCAGAAAUUCAAAAUUUUCCUACGUGUCACCAAGAUCUAUCUAUGGAGAAACCAGCAACGAGGGGAAGGAGAGUGCAUCCACAUACCCUUGUAGAUCGCUAAGCGGAAGCGUUCAAGAGAACGGGGUUGAAGGAGUCGUACUCGUCAUGAUCCAAAUCACCGGAGAUCCUAGUGCCGAACGGACGGCACCUCUGCGUUCAACACACGUACAGCCCGGUGACGUCUCCCAUGCCUUGAUCUAGCAAGGAGAGAGGGAGAGGUUGACGAAGACUCCAUCUAGCAGCAGCACAAUGGCGUGGUGGUGGUGGAGGAGCGUGGCAAUCCUGCAGGGCUUCGCCAAGCACCAUGGGAGAGGAGGAGUAAGAGAGGUAGGGAUGCGCCAGGGAGAGGUCAAAACUCAUGUGUUGGCAGCCCUCAAGACCUCAACUAUAUAUAGGGGAGAGGGAGGGGGUGCGCCCCCUCUAGGGUUUCCACCCCAAGGGGUGCGGCAGCCCCAAUCCCAUCUAAGGGUGGCGGCCAAGGGGGGGGGAAGAGGGGAAACUUGCCCCCCAAGUUAGGUGGAAGCCCCCCCUCCCCAAACCCUAGGCGCCUUGGGCCCUUGUGGGGGGGCGCACCAGCCCACCUGGGGCUGGUCCCCUCCCACACUUGGCCCAUGCAGCCCUCCGGGGAUGGUGGCCCCACUUGGUGGACCCCCGGGACCCUCCUGGUGGUCCCGGUACGUUACCGAAAAAACCCGAAACUUUUCCCGUGACCAAAACAGGACUUCCCAUAUAUAAAUCUUUACCUUCGGACCAUUCCGGAACUCCUCGUGAUGUCCGGGAUCUCAUCCGGGACUCCGAACAACAUUCGGUAACCACAUACAAACUUCCUUUGUAACCCUAGCAUCAUCGAACCUUAAGUGUGUAGACCCUACGGGUUCGGGAACCAUGCAGACAUGACCGAGACGUUCUCCGGUCAAUAACCAACAGCGGGAUCUGGAUACCCAUGUUGUCUCCCACAUGUUCCACGAUGAUCUCAUCGGAUGAACCACGAUGUCAAGGACUCAAUCGAUCCCGUAUACAAUUCCCUUUGUCUAGCGGUAUGGUACUUGCCCGAGAUUCGAUCGUCGGUAUCCUGAUACCUUGUUCAAUCUCGUUACCGGCAAGUCUCUUUACUCGUUCCGUAACACAUCAUCCCGUGAUCAACCCCUUGGUCACAUUGUGCACAUUAUGAUGAUGUCCUACCGAGUGGGCCCAGAGAUACCUCUCCGUUACACGGAGUGACAAAUCCCAGUCUCCAUUUGUGCCAAGCCAACAGACACUUUCGGAGAUACCUGUAGUGCACCUUUAUAGCCACCCAGUUACGUUGUGACGUUUGGUGCACCCAAAGCAUUCCUACGGUAUCCGGGAGUUGCACAAUCUCAUGGUCUAAGGAAAUGAUACUUGACAUUAGAAAAGCUUUAGCAUACGAACUACACGAUCUUUAGUGCUAGGCUUAGGAUUGGGUCUUGUCCAUCACAUCAUUCUCCUAAUGAUGUGAUCCCGUUAUCACCGACAUCCAAUGUCCAUGGUCAGGAAACUGUAACCAUCUAUUGAUCAACGAGCUAGUCAACUAGAGGCUUACUAGGGACAUGGUGUUGUCUAUGUACCCACACAUGUAUCUGAGUUUCCUAUCAAUACAAUUAUAGCAUGGAUAAUAAACGAUUAUCAUGAACAAGGAAAUAUAAUAAUAACUAAUUUAUUAUUGCCUCUAGGGCAUAUUUCGAACAACAGGUUACUACAGGAAGUUUGUCAAAAAUUAUGGCCUGUUGGCUCGACCUCUAACUGUCCUACUGAAGAAACAAGCCUUUCAGUGGUCUGACAUAGCUCAAGCAGCCUUUCAAUAGUUGAAACAUGCUAUGGCUACAACUCCUAUCUUGGCUCUACCUAAUUUUGAAAAAACUUUCACAGUGGAGACAGAUGCAUGUAAUACUGGAGUAGGAGCUUUGCUCUCUCAGGAGGGGCACCCCAUUGCUUACUACAGCAAGGCACUAGGCACAGCUAGUCAGAAAUUGAGCAUCUAUGAGAAAGAGUUUCUGGCAAUCAUGAUGGCCAUUGAGAGGUGGAGAUCUUACUUAGCCAGAGCACCUUUUGUAAUUAAAACAGAUCAUCAAAGUCUCUGUCAAUUAGGGGAUCAACUUCUGACAUCAGAUUUGCAGAGAAAAGCAAUGACAAAAAUGGUAGGCCUUUAGUUCACUAUUCAGUACAAAAAGGGAGUGGAGAAUACUGCAGCAGAUGCACUUUCCAGAGUGGCCCAUCUGUUUCCUGUCUAGGCACUGUCAACUAGCAAACCUGUCUGGAUACAGGAAGUGUUGAAUUCUUAUACAGGUGAUCCUGCUGCACAGGAGAUGUUGCAGAAACUGGCACUAGAUAGCAAAGCUUGUCUAGGAUUUCAUUUGAAAGAGGGGCUCAUUAAACAUGAAGAUAAAAUUUGGAUUGGAGCUAAUACAGGUCUGUAAAAAAAGCACAUUCAAGCUUUUCACUCCUCACCAGUGGGAGGGCACUCUGGCAUACUUUCUACUUACCACAGAGUUAAGCAGCUAUUCGGUUGGACUCGUAUGAAAACAGACGUCGAGAACUUUGUAAAGCAGUGUAACACUUGUCUGCAGGCUAAACAUGAGCUGUGCAAAUCACCCGAGCUGCUACAACCUGGUACUGUACCAGAUCGGCCAUGGCAGGCUAUUAGAAUGGACUUCAUUGAGGGAUUGCAUAAAUCAGAGGGAUUUAGUGCUAUUCUAGUGGUUGUGGAUCGCUUUACCAAAGUCAGUCAUUUUCUGCCCUUAAAACACCCGUUUACAGCAGCAUCUGUGGCUAAAGUCUUUCUCAAUAACAUCGUCAAACUACAUGGACUGCCCCUGUCCAUUGUUUCUGAUAGAGAUAAGAUCUUUACAAGUGCCUUUUGGAAAGAAUUGUUUCGAGUGUGGGGCACUGAGCUCACUACAAGAAAUAUGUCAACUUAUGACCUUCUGUCAGUGACCCUGGAAGAAUUGGUCAUAGAUUUAUGACCAUUUGAGACCAAUUGGUCAAAAGCUAUUCGAGGGGCUUCAAACCCUAAAUCAUUGCGACCAUUUUGGUCAGAAAGGUCAUAAUUUCCUUACACGAAAUGGUCAUAAAGCAAACAUCGCUAGUCUGCUGCCUUAUUUCUAGUUGUUAACGACCAAUAUAGAUGGUCAUAGCUUUGUAAAUUGUGGUGGGUUGCUAUGACUAGGCGCCACCUCAUCAGUUUUGCCUAUGUGUCAUGUCCAUGUGGCAGUUUUGCCCUAGGUUGUGAAGCAACCUAUAUUUCUGUAAUUCCCAAAAUUCCCCAAAAAAUCUCAUAUAUUCUUUGGGUCAUAUCUUUGUCAAAUAUGUAAAAACCUUCCUUGCCUAGUUCAAAAAUAAUUCAAAAAUAUUCAUUUUCCUAUUCUGUUCAAAACAACAGUUUGUGAAGGAAGUACCACUUUGGCAUCUCCAAAUAGUAUCCAUUUUCUACAGUGCUUUCCUAUGCCCAAAUAACCAUCCUCCACCAAAUGCCAGCUCAAGCCAUUCAUUAUUUUGAGCUGAGCUUCAACAUUCGUAUUUAUGUCCAGUGUGGUAGCUUGCAAAGCAAGUACCACAUAGGCUCCUCCUUUUGAGCUGAAAACUUGUGAAGACGGUCUUCUUAGUAACUGAUCAUCAUCAGCCAAAACUCACGCCCAUUAGCCAUGUACAUUUCACGUACCGCAAAUCAAACACUUGGCUACUAAUUCAUGUUUGAGCAUCGAUCGGUCUCCUCGUGAGAAUCUUAAGUUGUAAUUUUCUUCCUAGCACCUACCUGGGGAGUGACCAACCCACUAGACAUGCCUAGACCGCCCAGAACACAUGGCAACGCCACGGUCACGCGGUGACCAUGCGGCGGGCAUGCGAGUUUACACGCUCUAGAGUUGGGGGCCUCGGCCACCGCCCAAACCUCGACGUAUCGCCACCAUACCAUGUAUUUAUGAUUAAAUAGGUACUUAUGUAACUAGAAAUGAUUUUUGGAUAAAAUAAAUAGCAAACUAUGAGGCAGCUGCAGUUCAAAUUUGACCCGCUUCCAGCUAAAUCGGCGAAAAUUUGUCUUUUUCACGAGAGGUGGAUCAAAACUUUUUACACCAACCAUUUUGUCAAUUGUGCAUUAAAUAUGUCCUAGUAUUUUAUAAAAAUGAUUUGGUCCAAUUUUGCAACCAUUAUUUUGGAGGUCCUUCACAAAAAAAACUUCCUUUUGGGCACUCGAAAAAUUGGAAAUGGUUUUUUCGUUCAAAGAAAAAUAAAAACUUCCUUAGGAAACAUUGUUUGACAUUCCAAUAUGCACCCUUGUGCACAAUAUGAGAUCAUUUGAACAAACUAUGCCAUGAAUGUGGCCAUAAGAUUGAUCAUUUGGCUUGAAAGCCAUGAAUCUUCACACUUGAUAGCUCAUUUCUGAGAACACUUUUUUAAAAUAAUUACCGUAUUACAAGUUUAUUAUUUUUCCUGGAAACUUGGUCACAUAUAAUGACACAAUGCGAAGGUUUUCCAAUUUUUUGAUUUUUUUUUGAAUUUUUUAUGCCCGUUUCAAAAUGCGGUCAAAACAGCGGGCUUGACCGUUCCAUGCUAGUGGUUGAAUCUUGGAAAACUUUUGAUGUUUCUCUGAUUAAAUAGAUACUUAUGUACCUAGAAAUGGUUUUUGGAAAAAAUAAAUAACAAACUAUGAGGCAGCUGCAGUUCAAAUUUGACCCGCUUCCAACUGAAUCGACGACAAUUUGUCUUUUUCACCAGAGGUGGAUCAAAACUUUUUUCACCCAACCAUUUUGUCAAUAGUGCAUUAAAUAUGUCCUAGUAUUUUAUAAAAUUGAUUUGGUCCAUUUUUGCAACAAUUAUUUGGUAGUUCCUUCACAAAAAAACCUCCUUUUGGGCACUCGGAAAAUGAAAAAUGAAAUUUCCGUGCAAAGAAAAUGAAAACUUCCUUACGCAACAUUGUUUGGAAUUCCAAGAUGUACCCUUGUGCACAAUAUGAGAUCAUUUGAACAAACUAUGCCAUGAAUGUGGCCAUAAGAUUGAUCAUUUGGCUUGAAAGCCAUGAAUCUUCACGCAUGAUAGCUCAUUUCUGAGAACACUUUUUUAAAAUAAUUUCCGUAUUACAAGUUUAUUGUUUUUCCUGGAAACUUGGUCACAUAUAAUGACACAAUGCGAAGGUUUCCCAAUUUUUUGAUUUUUUUGAAUAUUUUAUGCCCGUUUCAAAAUGCGGUCAAAACGGCGGGAAUGACCGUUCAUAGCUAGUGGUUGAAUCUUGGAAUUUUUUUGGUGUUUCUCUGAUUAAAUAUAUACUUAUGUAUCUAGAAAUGAUUUUUGGAAAAAAUAAAUAGCAAACUAUGAGGCAGCUUCAGUUCAAAUUUGACCCGUUUCCAACUGAAUCGGCGGAAAUUUGUCUUUUUCACGAGAGGUGGAUCAAAAAUUUUUGCACCCAACCAUUUUGUCAAUUGUGCAUUAAAUAUGUCCUAGUAUUUUAGAAAAUUGAUUCGGUCCCAUUUUGCAACAAUUAUUCGGUAGUUCCUUCACAAAAAAACCUCCUUUUGGGCACUCGGAAAAUGAAAAAUGGUUUUUUCGUGCAAAGAAAGUGAAAACUCCCUUAGGCAACAUUGUUUGGAAUUCCAAUAUGCACCCUUGUGCACAAUAUGAGAUCAUUUGAACAAACUAUGUCAUGAAUGUGGCCAUAAGAUUGAUCAUUUGGCUUGAAAGCCAUGAAUCUUCACGCAUGAUAGCUCAUUUCUGAGAACACUUUUUUAAAAUAAUUUCCGUAUUACAAGUUUAUUAUUUUUCCUGGAAACUUGGUCAUAUAUAAUGACACAAUGCGAAGGUUUUCCAAUUUUUUGAUUUUUUUGAAUUUGUUAUGCCCGUUUCAAAAUGCGGUCAAAACGGCGGGCUUGACCGUUCCUAGCUAGUGGUUGAAUCUUGGAAUUUUUUUGGUGUUUCUAUGAUUAAAUAGAUACUUAUUUACCUAGAAAUGAUUUUUGAAAAAAAUAAAGAGCAAACUACAAGGUAGCUACAGUUCAAAUUUGACCCGCUUCCAACUGAAUCGGCGGAUAUUUGUCUUUUUCACGAGAGGUGGAUAAAAGCUUUGGACACUCAACUAUUUGGCAGUUGUGCAUUAUAUAUGGCCUAUUAUUUUAGAAAAUUGAUUUGGUAAAAUUUUACAACAAAUAUAUAGUAUGUCCUUCACAAAAAAACUCAUUUUGGACACUUUAAAAAUGGAAAAUGAUUUAAAAAAACUAAUUUUCCUAACUCUUUUAAAAGAUAUUUGUCUUAUUUCGAUUUGUCAUUAUUCCUGAAAACUAAGGUCAAAUUUGAUGAAACAUGAGAAGGUAUUUUAUUUUUAUUUUUAUUUUUCAGAUCAUAAAAUAGCCAAUAUGAUUUAGCACCUUACUUUUAGUCGAUUACGACCAAUUUAGAUGGUCAAAAAAUGUAGUACUGAUAUACUGUGUUCUGAUUGGUCCAGGACCAUCUCACGCGGAUCGUGCCUAAUCACCGUCGGAUGCUCCUGAUCCAACGGCCCGCCUGUCUCACCCACGUCGCCCAACCCACAACCCGCACUCCCUCCCACACACCCAACCGCACCCAACCCCUCGUGCCCUCCUCUCUCUCUCUCUCGAACCCUAGCGCUCCACUCCUCCCUGGCCGCCGCCACCUCCGGCGCCCUCUGUCCGCCACCACCUCCGUCGCCCUCUGUCCCGCGAGAUCCAUAUUGAUCGAUCCCCUCCAAUCCGCCACCACCUCUGGCGCCCUCUGUCCGGCGAGAUCCAUAUGGAUCGAUCCCCUCCAACCCUCCAACCCACGACUCCUCCUCCUCUCUGGAUCUCUGGAUCGACCCAACCGCCAGCCCCAAUUUGUUCGUUCAGUUAAUCGGCUCGGCUCCAUCGGCACGCCAAAUCUCCACGACCAGCCGCCUUUCCCUCCCGUAGACGACAUGCCUAGGAAGGAGCGCGACGCCGAGGGCAGCCGGAUCUCGUCACGGCGGCGGCGGCGGCGGUCGCCGUCCGACUCGGACUCCGACUCCGACUCUGGUGGCUCGCCCCGCCGGGGCUGGAGCCGCCACCGCCGCAGGAGCCGCCGCAAGGCCGCCCCGUCCUCCUCCUCCUCCUCCUCCAGCGGCGCGAGCGAUUUGCAGGCGUCCGGCUCCGGCUCCGACUCCGGGGACCGCCGAAGGAGGCGGAGCGGGAGCGCCAAGCGCGGGGGCGUCAUCGAGGAGCAAAUCCUGGAGUACAUGUCCAAGAAGGCGCAGAAGAAGGUGGGGGUUUCUGCUCGGCUGCCUUCCUGCCCCGCGCCUAGGGUUUCCGUUGCUAACUUGUUUGUCGAUGGUGUUGCUUCUGCAGGCCGAGAAGGUGGCCAAGAAGAUGAAGGCCAACGCGGUGUCGGGCUACUCCAACGAUUCCAACCCUUUUGGCGAUCCCAACCUCACAGAGAAGUAUGCGCAUUCGGCCCCUCCUCCGAUAACAUUACACAUUGCAUUGGUGAUGCUUGCUUUACCAGUAGAAACUUGGGUUGGCACCUGUUUGCUUAUAUGCUCCUAACUUUGCUGUUACAACCGAUAACAUUACACAUUUCUGCUCCUAACUUUGCUGUUACAAACGUUGUACUUCUUCAUUUGUUUGCCGGUUGUCCUAAUUAUGUACAAUUUGUGGUCCACUUUCAGAGCAAUCUAUAGUGUUGCAAACUGAAUUACUACUGCUUUGUCUUAUGGAUACAAAUCUGAAAAGAAUUUUAUGCGAGCACAGAUAAACCAUCCACCUUUGAUGAUUUCUACAGUGGGAAUGAGGCCUUGCUUAUUUGUAAAUAGCUUUGGAAGUCAAUUAGUAGCCUAAGUAUCUUGUGUGUAUGCUUAUAUGCUUUAUGGCAUAUUUCCUGUACCAACAAUAUAAUAUAAAUGUGUGAGUAUACCUUCUGUUGUCAAAGCAGAGAGUAGUUCCUUGUAAUUUCAGUUUAUCUUCUGGAGUGUCAUUUCAGUUAAUCUUCUGCUGAUGCUACUUAGUAUGUGCUCACAUAUUCAUGCUGGAAAGAUAAUAAUGUUGUUAGAUUGCUUACUGUUCUUUCAUUUCUGCAUACGGCUUACUCUGUUUCCCCGCACUCUUCAUAUGCCUGUUUCCGAGGGAGUGCUUUUGUUUCAUGCGCGAUAAACUGGCCGUUGCUAACUUGUCUUUGGCGUCUUGUAUGGAGCAGUAGCUGACAGCGACUGACUGUGUGGAGCAACAGUUUGUCUUGCUUCUGUCCUGCUAUGGAUGAAUACUUCUUGAAUGCAUCUUGUCUUUGGUUCAUUUUGUAGUACAGUAGAAUGGAUGCAUAUGCUCUGUACGUGUUCAUCUCUUCAAAUUUGUGCAACAGCAGUUUGGAGCUUCCAUUCUGGUAUGGUGUCUUUGCUUAAUUUGUACUACUAUUAGAAUGCAGACAUUGCUUUGGUCCCAAAUAAUCUGUUGCUUGCUUCGGAUAAGUUGACAUGUUGUGCAUAUAAUCUGCGUGAAGUUGUGAACAACAACAGAUACAGAGCUGGCCUCUUUGUUUUUCACGAAGAGCCUGCUGCAGCUUUUCUGUUGCCAUUGACUGAAAUUGUCGGCCUCCCAAUUCUUAUCCAACCUGUUACUGCUCCUGGCAAACUGAAUUGCUGGCCUCCCCUUGCUUGCUUCAUCUCUCGCAUUUCUGUUAGAUGCUCUACUUCUUAGUAGUGGGUGGGGGUCUUGUUGCUUGUCUCUGUCUGGAUCCGGCAUGUGCCAGCCUCAUGAUGCCAACAUGUUUGUUGUAAAAACCUUAUCAAUGCUGAAUCGUUCAAACAUUAAUAUGCUUGCUAGACUAACCAAUCUUAUGGCUCAACUAAUUGAUGGCAGCCAAAUUCCGCUAGUCUUGCCUUCAUCUCCGAGGCAGGCAGGCGCAUCGGACGAUGCACUAGCCUCUCCGCCGCCUUUCCUUUUAUUUAGAACGACGCUUCAUCCCAUCCGGCUGUUACGACAACGUUAGGCCAACAUGCUCAUGUUUUAGUUUACCCACUCCUAGCUAGCAAAGCAGAUGUCUUGUUUCCUUCUUCUUUGAUUUGUUUGAGUACUAUCUGCACGUUAGUUUUUUCGUUGAUUAGUUGGUAUUUUCUGCUCAUCUAUGUUUGACAUAUAUUUGUUCUAUUUGAAGGUGCAGAUUGUAUAAGAUGGGAAAUGGACAACUCCAACCAUUCCAAACUAGUUCAAGGGGCCAUGGAAACAAAAGGUACACCAUGAACUAUCUCAUGGUAAUAUGACUAGGUAGUCUAUUUGCUUAGACAAGCAGCGAUGUGUAUUACAAGUUCUGAGCUGAGAUUUCUGUGUAUUCAGAAUAUCAAGAACCUAAACAACAAGGGCAAAGUGGAAGGCACUCUGGUCGACAACCCAGGUAACCUGAGCUUACGCACUGCUAUACUUUCUUUCGAACUUAUUCUUUGAAAAUUCAAAGCUUAUGCAGUUUUGCUACAAGUACCAUAAUUUGCAUUGAAGAUAUUGUAUUCUGUUGCUGUAUCAUUGUUUAAUAAAACCACAGCAUGAUGCUCACAUGAGAUAUACACAUGUUUCUGUGCUGUUUGAUUCAAGCUUACUCUCGUUAUAAUGUAUUCUAUUGCUGUUUUGCUACAAGCUGUGUGUUGAUUUGAUAACAGGAGUUUCCUUGUCCUGGUCCUAUACUGCAUUUUGACUCCUAUGUUUCUGUGCGCGUGUUUUAAUUGAUGUUGUUUCGACUUUGAAAUGCUUCUGCAUAUGGCCUAUACUGCAAUUGAGAUUUAAAUUUGUGGUUGUUCCGCUUUUACAGAUGCUCAAGUGUGAAGUGUGAAGCAAGUGUGAAGCCGUGAAGUGUGAAGCCGUCAAGUUCUACUUAGUAAAGAGUAGCAUAUUGUAGCAUAUAUGUGUUGUAAAGAUUGUAAUAGAUUUAUUUAGUGGUAUAUUUGAUGAAAUUUAUGUGUUCUUUUUGAUUAUGUAUGUGAUCUGAAAACUUGUGAAAUGGAAACUUGACCAAU
rnacentral:lncRNA from 1 species